ensembl:lncRNA
CCCCUCUCCCAUUCCAUCUCUUCUAUCCCCCUCUCUCCCAUUCCAUCUCCUCUAUCCCCUCUCUCCCAUUCCUUUUCCUCUAUCCCCUCUCUCCCAUUCCAUCUCUUCUAUCCCCUCUCUCCCAUUCCUUCUCCUCUAUCCCCCUCUCCCAUUCCUUCUCCUUAACACCCCUCUCCCAUUCCUUAUCCUCUAUCCCCUCUGUCCCAUUUCUUCCCAUCUACCCCUCUCCCAUUCCUUCUCCUCUAUUCCCUCUCUCCCAUUCCUUCUCCUCUAUCCCCUCUCUCCCAUUCCAUCUCCUCUAUCCCCCCUCUCCCAUUCCUUCUCCUCGACACCCACUCUCCCAUUCCAUCUCCUCUAUUCCCUCUCUCCCAUUCCUUUCUCUCUACCCCCUCUCUCUCAUUCUCCAGUGCCUUAUCCUCAGGGUUGGGGAGUUUACAUGUAACGGUAACUGUAAUCCGUUACAAACGAAAAUAUUGUAAUCAGAUUACAGAUACUUUUGAAAAACUAGAAGAUUAUUUCCAGGGUUACUUUUAAAUUCAGAAAGGAUGUUUCUGAAAAAAAAUAUUGACACCUCUCUGUUUUCUCAAUGACAUUCAAAUCAGCAUUGAAGAAGGCGCAAAUGUAUUAAGUUUGUUCCACCUGAGCGAGUCUGACCACAAGUCAGAGACCACUAUGAUAACACAUCAAAUGUGUUUGAUGGAUCGCGGGAAAAGAGCAGGAAAGGGCUAUUGUGGGUUUCAGUCCAAGCCAUGUCUUCCAAUGGUGUGACUGCUGUCGGCAUCCAAAGAUGAUCCAACUUGAAUAAAGGCUUGGAGGUAAAGGAUGACAGUAGUGGUGUCGUCUACAGUGAUACCGAUAUCACUAAUUACUGAUAUCUACAUAGCGUAUUGAUGUGAAUCACACUGCUGCUCUCUUAUUUAGCUAUUUUUGCCUUACGGAUUGUGGUUGUAUGUUCACAAAUCUAAAUGUGGUUUUGAACCCAAUAAUGGUUGAAUUCAAGAAGUUGCAUAGUGCGGAUCCCAGCAUAUGGAAUAACAGUUGCAUAGUGCGGAUCCCAGCAUAUGGAAUAACAGCUGCAUAGUGCGGAUCCCAGCAUAUGGAAUAACAGCUGCAUAGUGCAGAUCCCAGCAUAUGGAAUAACAGCUGCACAGUGCAGAUCCCAGCAUAUGGAAUAACAGCUGCAUAGUGCGGAUCCCAGCAUAUGGAAUAACAGCUGCACAGUGCAGAUCCCAGCAUAUGGAAUAACAGCUGCAUAGUGCGGAUCCCAGCUAAUGGAAUAACAGCUGCAUAGUGCGGAUCCCAGCAUAUGGAAUAACAGCUGCAUAGUGCGGAUCCCAGCUAAUGGAAUAACAGCUGCAUAGUGCAGAUCCCAGCAUAUGGAAUAACAGCUGCACAGUGCAGAUCCCAGCAUAUGGAAUAACAGCUGCAUAGUGCAGAUCCCAGCAUAUGGAAUAACAGCUGCACAGUGCAGAUCCCAGCAUAUGGAAUAACAGCUGCAUAGUGCGGAUCCCAGCAUAUGGAAUAACAGCUGCAUAGUGCGGAUCCCAGCAUAUGGAAUAACAGCUGCAUAGUGCGGAUCCCAGCAUAUGGAAUAACAGCUGCAUAGUGCAGAUCCCAGCAUAUGGAAUAACAGCUGCACAGUGCGGAUCCCAGCAUAUGGAAUAACAGCCGCAUAGUGCGGAUCCCAGCAUAUGGAAUAACAGCUGCAUAGUGCAGAUCCCAGCAUAUGGAAUAACAGCUGCAUAGUGCGGAUCCCAGCAUAUGGAAUAAACGUGGUGCUUUUAUUGCACAAUAUAAUUCAAGUUGAUAAAAAUAAAUCCAUAGGCCUACUGGACACAUGCUCAAACUCCUUCACUUUUGAUAGACUUAAAGGGUCAAUCUGUAGAUGGUACAUCCAUUUUUGGACUUAUACAUUAUAUAUACCUGUAUAUAUCCAUUAAUUGUUGAAGAAUAUAACUUAUAAAUGCCUCAUGAGCUUAGUUCAACAGCCACACUCCAUCAGAACCCAAAAUAGAAGCUUGUUUUUCUCCAAUGUUUGUAAACAUUGUAAAUGUAAUCAAACAAGGUAUAGCCUCAUAACAUACUGUAGUUAAAACUAUAAUUUUGAUAUCAUGGAUGGUCAGUCCUUACAUCCGUAGCUCUGUCUAUUCAUCUGAGAGUGGUUACAUUUCUCCAGGCCCAUCCCUCCGCUUUUUACCAAAACAGAGGCGGGGUGCCCAUUUUGUUAUUGUUUCAUCUGUGGAGUUGCCCUUUAAACAGCUGCAUAUUAUCAAGAUAUCAAAGUGUCGCCAACUAAAAGGUAAACAAUAGACAUAUAGCAAAUGCAGCACAUGGCAUUCAUUUUUCACAUGUAAAUAGCACUUUUCAGUGUUCAAAGCUUGCCAUUCCACGAGCGAAGCAUUUAUUUUUUCAAUUAGAAUCAAUAAACCCAAUCAGUCCUCAACGACAAAAUCAUAAACAACACAGUAGGGCUGGCUAAUAAGUCCUUCGUUUUGGGGUUAUACUCAGAUAAAACCGUUUGGCUGAUCUAUACUUCUGUAUUUCCAAGUCCUAUUCUUGAAGGUCAAGGGGUAUAUCAUUUAUUGUAAUGACUGGAAUUCUGAUAGACUGGUUUUUAAUGUAAAUAUAUAGUUUAAUCGUUGGAGUAGAAAGCGAUGGGUUAGAAGAAGCCUACAUAACCCAUAAAGUCAAAUGUAACACCCAUUUAUGACCAGCUAUGUAAACUUUAACAUUGAUUUAUCCUGCAAUGUCGUUCAAUUGGUAACAUACAUUUUUGUCUUCUUCUUAUACCUCUUAAGGGGAAAGUCAUCUAAAAUAAAUGUAAUGUAAUCAGAUUAUGUUACUGAGUUUGGGUAAUCCAAAAGUUUUAUUUCUGAUUACAAUUUUGGACAGGUAACUUGUUUAGAAAGUAACCUACCCAACCCUGCUUAUCCUACAGUGCCUUCUCCUGUCUCUCCUCUACCCCCCCCUCUCUGAUUCCAUCUCCUAUACCCUAGUCCCAUUCCCUAGGGCCUGUCUCUCCUCUACCCCACUCUCCCAUUCCAUCUCCUAUACCCUAGUCCCAUUCCAUCUCCUAUACCCUAGUCCCAUUCCAUCUCCUAUACUCUAGUCCCAUUCCAUCUCCUAUACCCUAGUCCCAUUCCAUCUCCUAUACCCUAGUCCCAUUCCAUCUCCUAUACCCUAGUCCCAUUCCAUCUCCUAUACCCUAGUCCCAUUCCAUCUCCUAUACUCUAGUCCCAUUCCAUCUCCUAUACCCUAGUCCCAUUCCAUCUCCUAUACUCUAGUCCCAUUCCAUCUCCUAUACUCUAGUCCCAUUCCAUCUCCUAUACCCUAGUCCCAUUCCAUCUCCUAUACUCUAGUCCCAUUCCAUCUCCUAUACCCUAGUCCCAUUCCAUCUCCUAUACCCUAGUCCCAUUCCAUCUCCUAUACCCUAGUCCCAUUCCAUCUCCUAUACCCUAGUCCCAUUCCAUCUCCUAUACCCUAGUCCCAUUCCAUUUCCUAUACCCUAGUCCCAUUCCAUCUCCUAUACCCUAGUCCCAUUCCAUCUCCUAUACCCUAGUCCCAUUCCAUCUCCUAUAUCCUAGUCCCAUUCCAUCUCCUAUACCCUAGUCCCAUUCCAUCUCCUAUACCCUAGUCCCAUUCCAUCUCCUAUAUCCUAGUCCCAUUCCAUCUCCUAUAUCCUAGUCCCAUUCCAUCUCCUAUACCCUAGUCCCAUUUCAUCUCCUAUACCCUAGUCCCAUUUCAUAUCCUAUACCCUAGUCCCAUUCCAUCUCCUAUACCCUAGUCACAUUCCAUCUCCUAUACCCUAGUCCCAUUCCAUCUCCUAUACCCUAGUCCCAUUCCAUCUCCUAUACCCUAGUCCCAUUCCAUCUCCUAUAUCCUAGUCCCAUUCCAUCUCCUAUACCCUAGUCCCAUUCCAUCUCCUAUACCCUAGUCCCAUUCCAUCUCCUAUAUCCUAGUCCCAUUCCAUCUCCUAUAUCCUAGUCCCAUUCCAUCUCCUAUAUCCUAGUCCCAUUCCAUCUCCUAUAUCCUAGUCCCAUUCCAUCUCCUAUACCCUAGUCCCAUUCCAUCUCCUAUAUCCUAGUCCCAUUCCAUCUCCUAUAUCCUAGUCCCAUUCCAUCUCCUAUAUCCUAGUCCCAUUCCAUCUCCUAUAUCCUAGUCCCAUUCCAUCUCCUAUACCCUAGUCCCAUUCCAUCUCCUAUACCCUAGUCCCAUUCCAUCUCCUAUACCCUAGUCCCAUUCCAUCUCCUAUAUCCUAGUCCCAUUCCCUAGGGCCUUAUCCUACAGUGCCUUCUAUACCCCCUUUCCAUUUUUAUUUUUAUUUACCCAGGAAAAGCCUAUUGAGACACAGUCUCUUUUUCAAGGGAGACCUGGCCAAGAAGGCAUUAACAAUCAAUACAUUACAGAAUUAAAACAUACAACAAUACAAUACAACAACGUGAUCCAGCCUAAGAAAAAGCAUUUACACUCCUCUGUAACAGAGUCUCCCAUCAAUAUUUUAAAUGAAUUCCGUGGCACUAACAUCAAUAGUGGAAAAAGUACCCAAUUGUCAUACUUGAGUAAAAGUAAAGAUACCUUAAUAGAAAAAGGCACUGCAUCUCAGUAAAGGCGUCACUACAGACCCUGGUUUGAUUCCAGGCUGUAUCACAUCCGGCUGUGAUUGGGAGUCCCAUAGUGCGUCGCACAAUUGGCCCAGUGUGGUCGGGAUUAGGGUUUGGCCGGGGAAGGCCCAGUGUGGUCGGGAUUAGGGUUUGGCCGGGGAAGGCCCAGUGUCGUCUGGAUUAGGGUUUGGCCGGGGAAGGCCCAGUGUCGUCUGGAUUAGGGUUUGGCCGGAGAAGGCCCAGUGUCGUCUGGAUUAGGGUUUGGCCGGAGAAGGCCCAGUGUCGUCUGGAUUAGGGUUUGGCUGGGGAAGGCCCAGUGUCGUCUGGAUUAGGGUUUGGCCGGGGAAGGCCGUCAUUGUAAAUAAGAAUUUGUUCUUAACUGACUUGCCUAGUUAAAUCAAGGUUAAAGAAAAUGGUAAAAGUGAAAGUCACACAGUAAAAUACUACUUGAGUAAAAGUAUUUGCUUUUAAAUGCUUUCUCCUAUAUCCCUUCCCAUUCCCUAGUGCCUUAUCCUACAGUACUUUCUCCCCUACCCAUUCCCUAGCGCCUUAUCCUACAGUACUUUCUCCCCUACCCAUUCCCUAGUGCCUUAUCCUACAGUACUUUCUCCCCUACCCAUUCCCUAGCGCCUUAUCCUACAGUACUUUCUCCCCUACCCAUUCCCUAGCGCCUUAUCCUACAGUAAUUUCUCCCCUACCCAUUCCCUAGCACCUUAUCCUACAGUAAUUUCUCCCCUACCCAUUCCCUAGCACCUUAUCCUACAGUACUUUCUCCCCUGCCCAUUCCCUAGCGCCUUAUCCUACAGUACUUUCUCCCCUGCCCAUUCCCUAGCGCCUUAUCCUACAGUAAUUUCUCCCCUACCCAUUCCCUAGCACCUUAUCCUACAGUACUUUCUCCCCUGCCCAUUCCCUAGCGCCUUAUCCUACAGUACUUUCUCCCCUGCCCAUUCCCUAGCGCCUUAUCCUACAGUGCUUUCUCCCCUACCCAUUCCCUAGCGCCUUAUCCUACAGUGCUUUCUCCCCUACCCAUUCCCUAGCGCCUUAUCCUACAGUGCUUUCUCCCCUACCCAUUCCCUAGCGCCUUAUCCUACAGUACUUUCUCCCCUACCCAUUCCCUAGCGCCUUAUCCUACAGUACUUUCUCCCCUACCCAUUCCCUAGCGCCUUAUCCUACAGUACUUUCUCCUAUACCCAUUCCCUAGCGCCUUAUCCUACAUUACUUUCUCGUAGACCCAUUCCCUAGCGCCUUAUCCUACAGUACUUUCUCCCCUACCCAUUCCCUAGCGCCUUAUCCUACAGUGCUUUCUCCUAUACCCAUUCCCUAGCGCCUUAUCCUACAGUACUUUCUCCCCUACCCAUUCCCUAGCGCCUUAUCCUACAGUACUUUCUCCUAUACCCAUUCCCUAGCGCCUUAUCCUACAGUACUUUCUCCUAUACCCAUUUCCUAGCGCCUUAUCCUACAGUACUUUGUCCCCUACCCAUUCCCUAGCGCCUUAUCCUACAGUGCUUUCUCCUAUACCAUUCCCUAGCGCCUUAUCCUACAGUACUUUCUCCCCUACCCAUUCCCUAGCGCCUUAUCCUACAGUGCUUUCUCCCUACCCAUUCCCUAGCGCCUUAUCUUACAGUGCUUUCAACCCUACCCAUUCCCUAGCGCCUUAUCCUACAGUACUUUCCCCCUACCCAUUCCCUAGCGCCUUAUCCUACAGUGCUUUCUCCCCUUCCCAUUCCCUAGCGCCUUAUCCUACAGUGCUUUCUCCCCUUCCCAUUCCCUAGCGCCUUAUCCUACAGUACUUUCUCCCCUACCCAUUCCCUAGCGCCUUAUCCUACAGUACUUUCUCCUAUACCCCUUCCCAUUCCCUAGCGCCUUAUCCUACAGUGUUUUCUCCCCUUCCCAUUCCCUAGCGCCUUAUCCUACAGUACUUUCUCCCCUACCCAUUCCCUAGCGCCUUAUCCUACAGUACUUUCUCCCCUACCCAUUCCCUAGCGCCUUAUCCUACAGUACUUUCUCCCCUACCCAUUCCCUAGCGCCUUAUCCUACAGUGCUUUCUCCCCUUCCCAUUCCCUAGCGCCUUAUCCUACAGUACUUUCUCCCCUACCCAUUCCCUAGCGCCUUAUCCUACAGUGUUUUCUCCCCUUCCCAUUCCCUAGGGCAUUAUUUUACAGUGCGUUCUCCUAUAUCCCUUCCCAUUCCCUAGCGCCUUAUCCUACAGUGCUUUCUCCCCUUCCCAUUCCCUAGGGCAUUAUUUUACAGUGCUUUCUCCUAUAUCCCUUCCCAUUCCCUAGCGCCUUAUCCUACAGUGGUUUCUCCCCUUCCCAUUCCCUAGGGCAUUAUUUUACAGUGCUUUCUCCUAUAUCCCUUCCCAUUCCCUAGCGCCUUAUCCUACAGUGCUUUCUCCCCUUCCCAUUCCCUAGCGCCUUAUCCUAUAGUGCUUUCUCCCCUUCCCAUUCCCUAGGGCAUUAUUUUACAGUGCGUUCUCCUAUAUCCCUUCCCAUUCCCUAGCGCCUUUUCCUACAUUGCUUUCUCCCCUUCCCAUUCCCUAGGGCAUUAUUUUACAGUGCUUUCUCCUAUAUCCCUUCCCAUUCCCUAGCGCCUUAUCCUACAGUACUUUCUCCUAUAUUCCUUCCCAUUCCCUAGCGCCUUAUCCUACAGUGCUUUCUCCCCUUCCCAUUCCCUUGCGCAUUAUCCUACAGUGCUUUCUCCUAUAUCCCUUCCCAUUCCCUAGCGCAUUAUCCUACAGUGCUUUCUCCCCUUCCCAUUCCCUAGCGCAUUAUCCUACAGUGCUUUCUCCCCUUCCCAAUCCCUAGCACAUUAUCCUACAGUGCUUUCUCCCCUACCCAUUCCCUAACGCCUUAUCCUACAGUACUUUCUCCUAUACCCAUUCCCUAGGCCAUUAUCCUACAGUGCUUUCUCCUAUACCCAUUCCAUAGCGCAUUAUCCUACAGUGCUUUCUCCCCUACCCAUUCCCUAGCGCCUUAUCUUACAGUGCUUUCAACCCUACCCAUUCCCUAGCGCCUUAUCCUACAGUACUUUCCCCCCUACCCAUUCCCUAGCGCCUUAUCCUACAGUGCUUUCUCCCCUUCCCAUUCCCUAGCGCCUUAUCCUACAGUGCUUUCUCCCCUUCCCAUUCCCUAGCGCCUUAUCCUACAGUACUUUCUCCCCUACCCAUUCCCUAGCGCCUUAUCCUACAGUACUUUCUCCUAUACCCCUUCCCAUUCCCUAGCGCCUUAUCCUACAGUGUUUUCUCCCCUUCCCAUUCCCUAGCGCCUUAUCCUACAGUACUUUCUCCCCUACCCAUUCCCUAGCGCCUUAUCCUACAGUACUUUCUCCCCUACCCAUUCCCUAGCGCCUUAUCCUACAGUACUUUCUCCCCUACCCAUUCCCUAGCGCCUUAUCCUACAGUGCUUUCUCCCCUUCCCAUUCCCUAGCGCCUUAUCCUACAGUACUUUCUCCCCUACCCAUUCCCUAGCGCCUUAUCCUACAGUGUUUUCUCCCCUUCCCAUUCCCUAGGGCAUUAUUUUACAGUGCGUUCUCCUAUAUCCCUUCCCAUUCCCUAGCGCCUUAUCCUACAGUGCUUUCUCCCCUUCCCAUUCCCUAGGGCAUUAUUUUACAGUGCUUUCUCCUAUAUCCCUUCCCAUUCCCUAGCGCCUUAUCCUACAGUGGUUUCUCCCCUUCCCAUUCCCUAGGGCAUUAUUUUACAGUGCUUUCUCCUAUAUCCCUUCCCAUUCCCUAGCGCCUUAUCCUACAGUGCUUUCUCCCCUUCCCAUUCCCUAGCGCCUUAUCCUAUAGUGCUUUCUCCCCUUCCCAUUCCCUAGGGCAUUAUUUUACAGUGCGUUCUCCUAUAUCCCUUCCCAUUCCCUAGCGCCUUUUCCUACAUUGCUUUCUCCCCUUCCCAUUCCCUAGGGCAUUAUUUUACAGUGCUUUCUCCUAUAUCCCUUCCCAUUCCCUAGCGCCUUAUCCUACAGUACUUUCUCCUAUAUUCCUUCCCAUUCCCUAGCGCCUUAUCCUACAGUGCUUUCUCCCCUUCCCAUUCCCUUGCGCAUUAUCCUACAGUGCUUUCUCCUAUAUCCCUUCCCAUUCCCUAGCGCAUUAUCCUACAGUGCUUUCUCCCCUUCCCAUUCCCUAGCGCAUUAUCCUACAGUGCUUUCUCCCCUUCCCAAUCCCUAGCACAUUAUCCUACAGUGCUUUCUCCCCUACCCAUUCCCUAACGCCUUAUCCUACAGUACUUUCUCCUAUACCCAUUCCCUAGGCCAUUAUCCUACAGUGCUUUCUCCUAUACCCAUUCCCUAGCGCAUUAUCCUACAGUGCUUUCUCCUAUACCCAUUCCCUAGCGCAUUAUCCUACAGUGCUUUCUCCUAUACUCAUUUCCUUGCACAUUAUCCUACAGUGCUUUCUCCUAUACCCAUUCCCUAGGGCAUUAUCCUACAGUGCUUUCUCCUAUACUCUAUACAAUCUGAAAAGAUUGUCAGUGUUUCGAGCUCCAGUCUUUUUCUGGAUGUAACCGUGUAACCAUUGAUUUCUUGUUAAGCUAAUAUUUAACCCGUCAAUGCUGUUUUUCUCUUGGCAGUAUAACUGACUACAUUUGAAGGUUUUAUGUGUUUCUGAGGGAAAACCCUACAAGAGGACAAGGAAGAAUAAUAUGAUUCAAAUAGACAGGAAGUAGAAAUGGCCUUUAUUGUUUACCAUAACACACAUCAUACACUAUCAUACAGCAUGUUAUUAAAACAGGACUAAACUAACUGAAGUUCUCAAUGGUGAUGUAAUAAUGACUUGUCAAUGGUGAUGUAAUAAUGACUUGUCAAUAGUGAUGUAAUAAUGACUUGUCAAUGGUGAUGUAAUAAUGACUUGUCAAUGGUGAUGACAUCUUGUUCUGUCUCUCCUCCAGCUGAGUAUGAGGACUGGUUUCACCAUCACUGACUUCUGAAGCUUCGGUUUUGACACUGGGAUAGGCUAUAUUUUACACUUUCCCUCAUUGGUGCUGAGAAUAGCUGGCCACUGUGACUCCCUUUUCUGUGUGUGAGAGAGAGUAAGACCAAGGGAGAGAUUAUUUGAAAAGAAGAGGAAGAAAUAUGAGUGCAGGAAAGAGUGAUAUGAUCCCUUAGCAUCUCAGAGCCAAGGACACACAAAACCACAUCUCGUUAGUUUGAGCAAUGCUUUUAGAUUUAUUUGACAGAAUAUUACAGUAGUGCUAUAACCCUUCACACAACCUCUAUAACCCUUCACACAGUUGCUAUAAGCCUUCCCUUUGCCCUUAUGUAGACAGGAUGGGCAGUGAGCUGAGACAUGCUCUGUAAUGAACAACACCUCAAAGCAAUGUGGAAAAAACACUCAUAUUUAUAUUAUUAUUUACAAAUCAUGUUCAAUUACAACAUUUUGAUAUCUGUCUAUUUCAAAAGACACUGCUUUUGGUCACGAAAACGUGUUUAUUGUUAUUCCAUUAUUUUUCUCAUCAAUAAAUAACUGUUCUCCAGUA